rnacentral:tRNA from 1 species
GAGGGUAUAGCUGAGUGGUAGAGCGCGUGCUAGCAUGCACAAGGUUCUGGGUUCAAUACUCAGUACCUUAA